CGGGACACGUGGUAUCCUGUCUGAAUAUGGGGGGACCAUCCUCCAAGGCUAAAUACUCCUGACUGACCGAUAGUGAACCAGUACCGUGAGGGAAAGGCGAAAAGAACCCCGGCGAGGGGAGUGAAAAAGAACCUGAAACCGUGUACGUACAAGCAGUGGGAGCCUCUUUAUGGGGUGACUGCGUACCUUUUGUAUAAUGGGUCAGCGACUUAUAUUCUGUAGCAAGGUUAACCGAAUAGGGGAGCCGAAGGGAAACCGAGUCUUAACUGGGCGUUAAGUUGCAGGGUAUAGACCCGAAACCCGGUGAUCUAGCCAUGGGCAGGUUGAAGGUUGGGUAACACUAACUGGAGGACCGAACCGACUAAUGUUGAAAAAUUAGCGGAUGACUUGUGGCUGGGGGUGAAAGGCCAAUCAAACCGGGAGAUAGCUGGUUCUCCCCGAAAGCUAUUUAGGUAGCGCCUCGUGAAUUCAUCUCCGGGGGUAGAGCACUGUUUCGGCAAGGGGGUCAUCCCGACUUACCAACCCGAUGCAAACUGCGAAUACCGGAGAAUGUUAUCACGGGAGACACACGGCGGGUGCUAACGUCCGUCGUGAAGAGGGAAACAACCCAGACCGCCAGCUAAGGUCCCAAAGUCAUGGUUAAGUGGGAAACGAUGUGGGAAGGCCCAGACAGCCAGGAUGUUGGCUUAGAAGCAGCCAUCAUUUAAAGAAAGCGUAAUAGCUCACUGGUCGAGUCGGCCUGCGCGGAAGAUGUAACGGGGCUAAACCAUGCACCGAAGCUGCGGCAGCGACGCAUAUGCGUUGUUGGGUAGGGGAGCGUUCUGUAAGCCUGUGAAGGUGUACUGUGAGGUAUGCUGGAGGUAUCAGAAGUGCGAAUGCUGACAUAAGUAACGAUAAAGCGGGUGAAAAGCCCGCUCGCCGGAAGACCAAGGGUUCCUGUCCAACGUUAAUCGGGGCAGGGUGAGUCGACCCCUAAGGCGAGGCCGAAAGGCGUAGUCGAUGGGAAACAGGUUAAUAUUCCUGUACUUGGUGUUACUGCGAAGGGGGGACGGAGAAGGCUAUGUUGGCCGGGCGACGGUUGUCCCGGUUUAAGCGUGUAGGCUGGUUUUCCAGGCAAAUCCGGAAAAUCAAGGCUGAGGCGUGAUGACGAGGCACUACGGUGCUGAAGCAACAAAUGCCCUGCUUCCAGGAAAAGCCUCUAAGCAUCAGGUAACAUCAAAUCGUACCCCAAACCGACACAGGUGGUCAGGUAGAGAAUACCAAGGCGCUUGAGAGAACUCGGGUGAAGGAACUAGGCAAAAUGGUGCCGUAACUUCGGGAGAAGG
rnacentral:rRNA from 1 species